AGUGAACGCUGGCGGUAGGCCUAACACAUGCAAGUCGAACGGCAGCACAGUAAGAGCUUGCUCUUACGGGUGGCGAGUGGCGGACGGGUGAGGAAUACAUCGGAAUCUACUUUUUCGUGGGGGAUAACGUAGGGAAACUUACGCUAAUACCGCAUACGACCUACGGGUGAAAGCAGGGGAUCUUCGGACCUUGCGCGAUUGAAUGAGCCGAUGUCGGAUUAGCUAGUUGGCGGGGUAGAGGCCCACCAAGGCGACGAUCCGUAGCUGGUCCGAGAGGAUGAUCAGCCACACUGGAACUGAGACACGGUCCAGACUCCUACGGGAGGCAGCAGUGGGGAAUAUUGGACAAUGGGCGCAAGCCUGAUCCAGCCAUACCGCGUGGGUGAAGAAGGCCUUCGGGUUGUAAAGCCCUUUUGUUGGGAAAGAAAAGCAGCAGGUUAAUACCCCGCUGUUCUGACGGUACCCAAAGAAUAAGCACCGGCUAACUUCGUG
rnacentral:rRNA from 1 species